rnacentral:rRNA from 1 species
UACGGGGGGUGCGAGCGUUGUCCGGAAUCACUGGGCGUAAAGGGCGCGUAGGUGGUUUGAUAAGGGUGUGGUGAAAGUCCGGGGCUCAACUCCGGAUCUGCCGUGCCGACUGUCAAACUCGAGGGCUGUAGAGGCAGACGGAAUUCCGGGUGUAGCGGUGAAAUGCGCAGAUAUCAGGAGGAACACCGGUGGCGAAGGCGGGUCUCUGGGCAAUAACUGACGCUGAGGAGCGAAAGCGUGGGGAGCGAACAGG